rnacentral:rRNA from 1 species
AACGAACGCUGGCGGCAUGCCUAACACAUGCAAGUCGAACGAGACCUUCGGGUCUAGUGGCGCACGGGUGCGUAACGCGUGGGAAUCUGCCCUUCGGUUCGGAAUAACUCAGGGAAACUUGAGCUAAUACCGGAUAAUGACGUAAGUCCAAAGAUUUAUCGCCGAAGAAUGAGCCCGCGUAGGAUUAGCUUGUUGGUGGGGUAAUGGCCCACCAAGGCGACGAUCCUUAGCUGGUCUGAGAGGAUGAUCAGCCACACUGGAACUGAGACACGGUCCAGACUCCUACGGGAGGCAGCAGUGGGGAAUUUUGGACAAUGGGCGAAAGCCUGAUCCAGCCAUGCCGCGUGAGUGAAGAAGGCCUUCGGUUGU